CUCAAUCUGGCGGCCGUCUCAGAAACGACCUUGCUCUGCAGAUGUGCAGGCUAAGCCCAGAGAGGCCGAGUGACUUCCCCCGGUUUACACAGGGGUCUGGAGACUGAGUUGGGUCCAGAAUCCAGAUAGCCCCCUUCCGAGUCCAGUUCUCCCUCUACCCCGCCAACGUGACCCCCAGGAUGAGACCUGUCGCCUCCCGGGCGCCCCCAGGACUGUCUCCUUCCCUUCGGGAUUCCGGGCGCCAACGGUGAACCCUCGCUGUGUCCCUGAGUCUGCGUUACACUGGGCACCCCCGGUGACGCGCCAGAUUUUCUCCGGUCUCCCGUCCGCAGGCCCCGCAGCCGCAGACGCAGAGUGGAAACGGACGGUCGCCGCCACCGAUUCCCGCGACUGAGCUGAGGAAGGGGACGGAUGCAAGGAAUCGAAGGGCUCCGAAGAAAAACCCCCGGGGCCGUCAGUGUGGAAGGACGGCGGAGUUUAGAGUCCAGCAGGGCAAGAUGUGAACCCGGAUUUUGUGACCCAGCAGCUCUGCAACCGUGGGCAAGUCGCUUUGCUUCUUGGGGCAUUAGUUCCCUUGGGUUUGGAAAACAAGGACCGUGAUUCAUGUG